rnacentral:rRNA from 1 species
GACGAACGCUGGCGGCGUGCUUAACACAUGCAAGUCGAACGGGAUUUAGUAAACGGAAGCUUCGGUGGAAGAUUACUAAUGAGAGUGGCGAACGGGUGAGUAACGCGUGAGCAACCUGCCUAUGACAGUGGGAUAGCCUCGGGAAACCGGGAUUAAUACCGCAUAAAAUCGUAGAAACACAUGUUUUAACGGUCAAAGAUUUAUCGGUCAUAGAUGGGCUCGCGUCUGAUUAGCUAGUUGGUGAGAUAACAGCCCACCAAGGCGACGAUCAGUAGCCGGUCUGAGAGGAUGAACGGCCACAUUGGAACUGAGACACGGUCCAAACUCCUACGGGAGGCAGCAGUGGGGAAUAUUGCACAAUGGGGGAAACCCUGAUGCAGCGACGCCGCGUGAACGAAGAAGGUAUUCGUAUCGUAAAGUUCUGUCCUAUGGGAAGAUAAUGACAGUACCAUAGAAGAAAGCUCCGGCUAAAUACGUGCCAGCAGCCGCGGUAAUACGUAUGGAGCGAGCGUUGUCCGGAAUUAUUGGGCGUAAAGGGUACGCAGGCGGUUUAAUAAGUCGAAUGUUAAAGAUCGGGGCUCAACCCCGUAAAGCAUUGGAAACUGAUAAACUUGAGUAGUGGAGAGGAAAGUGGAAUUCCUAGUGUAGUGGUGAAAUACGUAGAUAUUAGGAGGAAUACCAGUAGCGAAGGCGACUUUCUGGACACAAACUGACGCUGAGGUACGAAAGCGUGGGGAGCAAACAGG